CAAUACUCUCUUGGACACCUAAUUCUUACUAUUAGUUUCCCAACUAACAAAAACUUUUCUAUUUUGCCACAAUUCUCAUCAUACCUGCAUUCAAAAAUUCCUUGGACACAUCUACACAUCUGAGAGAAAAUCUACAAUAUAACUGGUAAUUAUGCUGGUUUUACUUAAUUAAAUAAUAGAGAAAAUUUAUUGAUACUUACCGUAAUUUUCUUUUCCU